rnacentral:rRNA from 1 species
GCAUAACGCGAAGAACCUUACCUACCCUUGACAUGUCUGGAAUGCCGAAGAGAUUUGGCAGUGCUCGCAAGAGAACCGGAACACAGGUGCUGCAUGGCUGUCGUCAGCUCGUGUCGUGAGAUGUUGGGUUAAGUCCCGCAACGAGCGCAACCCUUGCCAUUAGUUGCUACGAAAGGGCACUCUAAUGGGACUGCCGGUGACAAACCGGAGGAAGGUGGGGAUGACGUCAAGUCCUCAUGGCCCUUAUAGGUGGGGCUACACACGUCAUACAAUGGCUGGUACAAAGGGUUGCCAACCCGCGAGGGGGAGCUAAUCCCAUAAAGCCAGUCGUAGUCCGGAUCGCAGUCUGCAACUCGACUGCGUGAAGUCGGAAUCGCUAGUAAUCGUGGAUCAGAAUGUCACGGUGAAUACGUUCCCGGGUCUUGUACACACCG